rnacentral:rRNA from 1 species
GAAUCUUGCACAAUGGGCGCAAGCCUGAUGCAGCAACGCCGCGUGCGGGAAGAAGGCCCUAGGGUUGUAAACCGCUUUCAGCAGGGAAGAAAAUGACGGUACCUGUAGAAGAAGGUGCGGCCAACUACGUGCCAGCAGCCGCGGUGACACGUAGGCACCAAGCGUUGUCCGGAUUUAUUGGGCGUAAAGAGCUUGUAGGCGGUUCGGUUAGUCGGGUGUGAAACCUCUGGGCUCAACUCAGAGACGCCACCCGAUACUGCUGUGACUAGAGUGCGGUAGGGGAGCGGGGAAUUCCUGGUGUAGCGGUGAAAUGCGCAGAUAUCAGGAGGAACACCAGUGGCGAAGGCGCCGCUCUGGGCCGUAACUGACGCUGAGAAGCGAAAGCGUGGGGAGCAAACAGG